rnacentral:rRNA from 1 species
UAGGGAAUCUUCGGCAAUGGACGAAAGUCUGACCGAGCAACGCCGCGUGAGUGAAGAAGGUUUUCGGAUCGUAAAACUCUGUUGUUAGAGAAGAACAAGGACGUUAGUAACUGAACGUCCCCUGACGGUAUCUAACCAGAAAGCCACGGCUAACUACGUGCCAGCAGCCGCGGUAAUACGUAGGUGGCAAGCGUUGUCCGGAUUUAUUGGGCGUAAAGCGAGCGCAGGCGGUUUCUUAAGUCUGAUGUGAAAGCCCCCGGCUCAACCGGGGAGGGUCAUUGGAAACUGGGAGACGUGGGUGCAGAAGAGGAGAGUGGAAUUCCAUGUGUAGCGGUGAAAUGCGUAGAUAUAUGGAGGAACACCAGUGGCGAAGGCGGCUCUCUGGUCUGUAACUGACGCUGAGGCUCGAAAGCGUGGGGAGCAAACAGG